GAGUUUGAUCCUGGCUCAGGACGAACGCUGGCGGCGUGCUUAACACAUGCAAGUCGAACGGUAAGGCCCCUUCGGGGGUACACGAGUGGCGAACGGGUGAGUAACACGUGAGCAACCUGCCCUUGACACUGGGAUAAGCGAUUGAAAAGUCGUCUAAUACCGGAUAUGACUCUCACAGGCAUCUGUGAGGGUGGAAAUGCUCCGGCGGUCAAGGAUGGGCUCGCGGCCUAUCAGCUUGUUGGUGAGGUAACGGCUCACCAAGGCUUCGACGGGUAGCCGGCCUGAGAGGGCGACCGGCCACACUGGGACUGAGAUACGGCCCAGACUCCUACGGGAGGCAGCAGUGGGGAAUAUUGCGCAAUGGGCGAAAGCCUGACGCAGCAACGCCGCGUGCGGGAUGACGGCCUUCGGGUUGUAAACCGCUUUCAGCAGGGACGAAGGGUUUCUGACGGUACCUGCAGAAGAAGCACCGGCCAACUACGUGCCAGCAGCCGCGGUGAUACGUAGGGUGCGAGCGUUGUCCGGAAUUAUUGGGCGUAAAGAGCUUGUAGGCGGUUUGUCACGUCGGAAGUGAAAACUCAGGGCUUAACCCUGAGCCUGCUUCCGAUACGGGCAGACUAGAGGAAGGUAGGGGAGAAUGGAACUCCUGGUGGAGCGGUGGAAUGCGCAGAUAUCAC
rnacentral:rRNA from 1 species